rnacentral:rRNA from 1 species
UACGGGGGGGGCAAGCGUUGUUCGGAAUUACUGGGCGUAAAGGGCGUGUAGGCGGCCAACUAAGUCCGACGUGAAAUCCCCAGGCUCAACCUGGGAACUGCGUCGGAUACUGGAUGGCUUGAAUCCGGGAGAGGGAUGCAGAAUUCCAGGUGUAGCGGUGAAAUGCGUAGAUAUCUGGAGGAAUACCGGUGGCGAAGGCGGCAUCCUGGACCGGCAUUGACGCUGAAGCGCGAAAGCUAGGGGAGCAAACGGG